AAACCAGCACCUCAAGUGGUCAGGAUGAUUAUUGGGCCUAAAGCAUCCGUAGCCUGCUUUGUCAGUUUUCGGUUAAAUCCAUACGCUCAACGUAUGGGCUGCCGGGAAUACUGCAAAACUAGGGAGUGGGAGAGGUAGACGGUACUCGGGAGGAAGGGGUAAAAUCCUUUGAUCUCUCGAUGACCACCUGUGGCGAAGGCGGUCUACCAGAACACGUCCGACGGUGAGGGAUGAAAGCUGGGGGAGCAAACCGGAUUAGAUACCCCAGUAGUCC
rnacentral:rRNA from 1 species